rnacentral:rRNA from 1 species
UAAGAUUUUGAUCCUGGCUCAGGACGAACGCUGGCGGCGUGCCUAAUACAUGCAAGUCGAGCGGACUUUAAAAGCUUGCUUUUAAAGUUAGCGGCGGACGGGUGAGUAACACGUGGGCAACCUGCCUGUAAGACUGGGAUAACUUCGGGAAACCGGAGCUAAUACCGGAUAAUCCUUUUCUACUCAUGUAGAAAAGCUGAAAGACGGUUUACGCUGUCACUUACAGAUGGGCCCGCGGCGCAUUAGCUAGUUGGUGAGGUAACGGCUCACCAAGGCAACGAUGCGUAGCCGACCUGAGAGGGUGAUCGGCCACACUGGGACUGAGACACGGCCCAGACUCCUACGGGAGGCAGCAGUAGGGAAUCUUCCGCAAUGGACGAAAGUCUGACGGAGCAACGCCGCGUGAGUGAUGAAGGUUUUCGGAUCGUAAAACUCUGUUGUUAGGGAAGAACAAGUACAAGAGUAACUGCUUGUACCUUGACGGUACGUAACUAGAAAGCCACGGCUAACKMCGUGCCAGCAGCAGCGGUAAUACGUAGGUGGCAAGCGUUGUCCGGAAUUAUUGGGCGUAAUUCGCGCGCAGGCGGUCCUUUAAGUCUGAUGUGAAAGCCCACGGCUCAACCGUGGAGGGUCAUUGGAAACUGGGGGACUUGAGUGCAGAAGAGAAGAGUGGAAUUCCACGUGUAGCGGUGAAAUGCGUAGAGAUGUGGAGGAACACCAGUGGCGAAGGCGACUCUUUGGUCUGUAACUGACGCUGAGGCGCGAAAGCGUGGGGAGCAAACAGGAUUAGAUACCCUGGUAGUCCACGCCGUAAACGAUGAGUGCUAAGUGUUAGAGGGUUUCCGCCCUUUAGUGCUGCAGCAAACGCAUUAAGCACUCCGCCUGGGGAGUACGGCCGCAAGGCUGAAACUCAAAGGAAUUGACGGGGGCCCGCACAAGCGGUGGGCAUGUGGUUUAAUUCGAAGCAACGCGAAGAACCUUACCAGGUCUUGACAUCCUCUGACACUCCUAGAGAUAGGACGUUCCCCUUCGGGGGACAGAGUGACAGGUGGUGCAUGGUUGUCGUCAGCUCGUGUCGUGAGAUGUUGGGUUAAGUCCCGCAACGAGCGCAACCCUUGAUCUUAGUUGCCAGCAUUAAGUUGGGGCACUCUAAGGUGACUGCCGGUGACAAACCGGAGGAAGGUGGGGAUGACGUCAAAUCAUCAUGCCCCUUAUGACCUGGGCCUACACACGUGCUACAAUGGAUGGUACAAAGGGCAGCAAAACCGCGAGGUCGAGCAAAUCCCAUAAAACCAUUCUCAGUUCGGAUUGUAGGCUGCAACUCGCCUACAUGAAGCUGGAAUCGCUAGUAAUCGCGGAUCAGCAUGCCGCGGUGAAUACGUUCCCGGGCCUUGUACACACCGCCCGUCACACCACGAGAGUUUGUAACACCCGAAGUCGGUGGGGUAACCGUAAGGAGCCAGCCGCCUAAGGUGGGAUAGAUGAUUGGGGUGAAGUCGUAACAGGGUAGCCAGUA